GGGUGAGUAACGCGUGAUUAAUCUACCUCCGGGAGAGGGAUAGCCAUUCGAAAGGAUGAGUAAUACCUCAUAAGACUCCGUUAUCGCAUGGUAACGUAGUAAAAGGGUUGGGAUCUUCGGACCUUCCGCCUAGAGAUGAAAUCGCGUCCUAUUAGCUUGUUGGUGAGGUAACGGCUCACCAAGGCUUUGAUGGGUAGCCGGCCUGAGAGGGUGGACGGCCACACUGGAACUGAGACACGGUCCAGACUCC
rnacentral:rRNA from 1 species